rnacentral:piRNA from 1 species
ACACGUGUAGGAGCCAAGCAUGAGAG